rnacentral:tRNA from 1 species
AAAAGCCCUAGAAACAC